UACGUAGGGGGCAAGCGUUAUCCGGAUUUACUGGGUGUAAAGGGAGCGUAGACGGCAGGGCAAGUCUGGAGUGAAAGGCGGGGGCUCAACCCCCGGACUGCUCUGGAAACUGCCAGGCUGGAGUGCAGGAGAGGUAAGUGGAAUUCCUAGUGUAGCGGUGAAAUGCGUAGAUAUUAGGAGGAACACCAGUGGCGAAGGCGGCUUACUGGACUGUAACUGACACUGAGGCUCGAAAGCGUGGGGAGCAAACAGG
rnacentral:rRNA from 1 species